rnacentral:rRNA from 1 species
UACGUAGGGGGCGAGCGUUGUCCGGAAUUAUUGGGCGUAAAGAGCGUGUAGGCGGUUCGGUAAGUCUGCCGUGAAAUCCUGGGGCUCAACCCCGGGCGUGCGGUGGAUACUGCCGGGCUAGAGGGUGGUAGAGGCGAGUGGAAUUCCCGGUGUAGCGGUGAAAUGUGUAGAGAUCGGGAGGAACACCGGUGGCGAAGGCGGGUCUCUGGGCAUCUCCUGACGCUGAGACGCGAAAGCGUGGGGAGCGAACAGG